UUUUUUUUUUUUUUUUUUUUUUUUUUGCACGUGGUAGGUAAUAGCAUGGAAAAUAGAAGUAUUUUGUAUGAGACAAAGAGAGACUGGGAUUAUUUAAUCAUUCAACAAAGAAUGACUGUUUACUUUUCAUCAAAAACAGGGCUAGAGUUUUAAGGGUAACUAAGAUUGGUUUUAAUCAGGUGUGGUAAGUCACACAGACACAAAGGUGACUGUCAUGAAGUAACAAUUUAUUAUAUUCAAGGGCACCUGGGUGGCUCAGUUGGCUAAGUGUCCAACUUCGGCUCAGGUCAUGAUCUUGUGGUUUGCAAAUGUGAGCCCUGCAUCGGGCUCUCUGCUGUCAGCAUGGAGCCUGCUUCAGAUCCUCUGUCCCCCUCUCUCUCUGCCCAUUUCCCACAUAUUCUCUCUCUCUCUUUCGAAAAUAAACAAAAAAAGAAUUUAUUAUAUUCAUAGAUCCCUAGAAACAGGAAACAUGGCACCAGGCAGAGUCACCCAAAGAGGCACCAGGGUCAUCAGGAGGCAGAGAGAGUGAGGGGAAAGUGGGGGUGCGAAACUUGACUGUGGUUUCUGGGGGAACAGGUGAGGCGGGAGAAGAGGCAUAGAAUCGACUGAUUUGAAUAAUUUCAGCAUGCUCUGGGGCUCAGGGCUGUCCCUAGUUAUCUGGUACCUAGCCCUGGGGUGAUUAGGGCAGGGGGUUAGUACCCUGGAGUGUAGGAGCCAAAGAGGAGGGGUCCUGGGGUGAGUGGGCUCUGGAAGGCUAGCUCACAGACGAGUUCUUUCCCAUCUCUAGAAAUUGGCUAGCCCUAGGAGGGACAGUCCCUCUAGGGCCAGCAGUAACCAGAGGCUUAAGUGUCAAAAUACAGAAUAAAAAACAUAGUACGUAGGGAAACCAGGCAAACAAGACAAAAAUAUGUUGGAUGAAGGUCUGUGGUGCAGGGUUCUUUAAAAAGUGAGGGGCACCUGGGUGACUCAGUCGGUUAAGCGACUGGCUUUGGCUCAGGUCAUGACCUCGCGGUUCGUGGGUUCAAGCCCCGUGUCGGGCUCUGUGCUGACAGCCCGGAGCCUGAAGCCUGCUUCGGAUUCUGUGUCUCCCUCUCUCUCUCUGCCCCUCCCCCACUUGUGCUCGCUCGCUCUCUCUCACUCUCUCAAAAAUAAAUACAUUUAAAAAAAGAUACAAGGGAAAGAAUUUGAAUUGCCCAUGCAGACUAGUGCUCAGUUGGCUCAGUCUACUCGGUGGGAAGGGAAAUGAAUCACAUCAACUGUAAGUGGAGUCAUGGGGUUAAAUCUCUUUGAUGAGUGGCCAUUAUGGAAAUACUGCCUACAAUUCAUGUGAAAGGCAUUAAUCAAGCACCUACCUUCCGUGGGGUCUGUGCACGGAGCCCUGGGGAAUAUGCAGAUGAAUAAAAUAGGAUCCUUGCUCACGAGGACAGCCUGGCAAAUGUGGGGUCCAUGCCUGCCGAAUCUCCUCUUUCGUGUCUGUGGCAGACAUCACUAAUUACUCACAGCCCUCUUUUCUGCCCAGUCCAGCCAGACUCACCUUAGAAUCCUCCAGAGCAGAGUGCAGUGGGGGGUCAGCCACUAAUCAGGGCUUUUGUCACCCUGGCUCCAGGGGCCCUCAGUCCGUGGUGGGGGGAUGCUGGAGGAGAGAAAGGGGGGAAAGUCUCAUCAACCCAUGUUUGAUGGAGACCGGAAGUGCUUUGGGAGUGUGGAAGGGGAAAAAAUCACACCUGCAUCCAGGGGAUUGCAGCAGACAUCAUGGAAGUGAUAGGAUUUGAGUCUGGUCUUGAAGGACUUGGCUCCUGGCCUGGUGCAGGAGUGAGGGCACUGUGGCAGAAGGGCUGUUCCAUGAGAGGCACGAGGCAGGAAGUGGAUGUGCUUUGAGGAACAGUGGGCAGGUGGUUGGCAGUGUGGCUUGGAAUGUGCUUUUUGUGGAGGCAGAGGGACGAGUGGGAGCCUUUAGCAGAGGCCCCGAAUGCUGGCCUGGAAUGUGCAGACUGAGUUCUGAAAAGUGGGGAAAGUCUGGCCACUUCAAGAUCAGAACAGUGCCCAGAAGACAAGGCGGAACAGUGCCCAGCAGGUUGGAGCCGGGAGAGCUUGAGGAGGGGGUGGGCAGUGAAAGGCAACAAGGGUCUCACCACCUGCGAGGGAUGUGGUUGUGCAAACAAGAAGACUGGUUCAGGAGGCUGUGCAUCUGGAAGUCUGGAAGGAUUCAGGGACCAGCUGGAUGUAGGGAUAGAAUGAAAGUCAAAGACCACAGCUCUGUUUUGGCCUGAAUGAUUCAGAAAGAUAAUGGGGCCAUGAACCACCAUGUGGAACCCAGGAGGGGAGCCCGUUUGAGAAGCAGUGUAGGGGCCAUGUGACCGUCAGGAAUCUUUAGGACCAGGGGAUGGCAAGACAGAUCUGCAGCUCUGGAAAGAGCCUGGAGCCAGAGACUGUGUAGCCAGGAGACAUCUUCAUUAGGAGGAGAGCCAGAGCACAGGAGCCACAGACAUGAGCAAGGGCAAACCUGGGGCGUGACCAGGGCCUCCUGCACCUAAUAUGUAGAAAGGAUGGGCAGAUACUCUCAUGUUUAAUAAUAGGGGCUAACUCACAAAUACGCAGGCUGGCGGAACUGAACAGAAAUCCAGAAAUAGACUAGAUUCAAGUAAAAAGGGAACUUUCAUGUAUGACAAGAAUGAGCCCACCAUGAGGUCAUGAAGGACUUUUUCCUGAAUUUUGUUAAGACAAUUAAGACCCAUCUGCAUUUUGGAGCUUGAUAGAGGGGAGCAGUUGUACAACAUUGUGAGUAUCGUUAAUGCCACUGAACCGAACGCUUCAAAGUGAUUAAGGUAAAUUUCAUGUUAUGUACAACCACAAAAAAAGAAAUGAAACCGUAAAGUCACAACAUAUGACUGAAAUGAAACCGUAAAAGAACUUACAACAUGUGACUGACCUCCCUUAGAACCCUGAGGUGGAGAAAGCCUUUACAACCAAGAAUCAAAACUCAGAAGCCAUGAAAAGAAAGGAUUGAUCGUUUGACUAUUUAAAAAUAAAACUCUUCUGGGGCACCUGGGUGGCUCAGGUUAAGCAUCCGACUUCAGCUCAGGUCAUGAUCUCACAGUUGGGGAGUUCAAGCCCCACAUGGGGCUCUGUGCUGACAGCUCAGAACCUGGAGCCUGCUUCAGAUUCUGUGUCUCCCUCUUUCUCUCUGCCCCUCCCCCGUUCAUGCUCUGUCUCUCUCAAAAAUAAAUAAACAUUAAAAAAAUUAAAAGAUAAUAAAACAAAAAAAAUUAAACUUUCUGCACAGCCACACACAGCAUAAACAAAAUCAAAGUACGGAUGAAUAACUAGCAUAUAGAAAACUCUUAAGUACCAAGAUGAAAUGUAAGACCCUAACAGAAAAAAUAAGCAAAGACAUGAAUUCUCAGUUCAUCACAAAAGAAAUACAACUUGUUCCUGAGGAGAUGUUCUAUCUACCCUUUCUCUCUUAUCUUACUGGUAAAAAUCCAGGCUCGCUUUGUUGGCAAGGCUGAGAGAGACCAGCCUUCUCCCAUCUCUGGCCGAUCGAGGAAAGACAGCACGUCCCACGUGGAGGGAGAUUUGGCAAAAACUACCAAAGUGACACACACACGUCCUUUUCAACCUGGCAACCCCGUGUCUAGACUUACGCCCUGAAGGCGCGUCUUCCCCAUCAUGACAUCCCCGGGUUAUUCAUUACAGUCAACUGUGUAAUCAACAAGAGAUUGGCUUUACACAAAUAGUUUGCAAUAAGAGACUGUCUGAAGAAACUUUCAUUCACUCACAGAAGGAGUACCACGUAGCAGGAAAACAGAAUGGAGAAGAGUUCUGUGGCCUGGUUGUGGUGCGGAAUAAUCUCCAGAAUAUGCUAAAAGUAGGGGGGGGGGGGGGGUUGUUGUAGAGUCACGUGUGGCGUGCUACCUUUAAUGUAGGAAAGGAGGGAAAAUAAGAAUAGAAAGAUAGAUAGAUAGAUAGACAGAUAGAUAGAUAGAUAGAUAGAUAGAUAGAAGGUGCCUAGGUCACUCAAUCGGUUGAGCACCUGACUUUUGAUCUCAGCUUAGGUCUUGAUCUCAGGGUUGUGAGUUCAAGCCCCACCUUGGGCUCCAGGCUGGAUGUGAACACUACUUAAAAAAAAAAAAAAAAAAGAUCAGGGCACCUGGGUGGCUCAGUCAGUUGAGCAUCUGACUUCAGCUCAGGUCAUGAUCUCAUGGUUUGUGAGUUCAAACCCCACCUCAGACUCGCUGCUCUCAGCACAGAGCCCACUUCAGAUCCUCUGUCCUCUCUCUGACCCUCCCCUGCUUGCGCACUCUCUCAAAAAUAUAUAAAACAUUUAAAAAACGUAUCUUAAAAAAGAGAGACGAAUUUCAUAUUUCUGCAAAAAAGAAACGCUUUGAGGAAAAACCAGAAAAUGACUAGAGUGGUGAACCAUAGGGAACAAGAGGGAAAGAUCGAAUAGAUAGGCAUAGAAGCAAGACGUAGCUGGCUGAAUCUUUUUAUAAAUUUCUAACUGUUGUAGCAGGUCAAUGCGUACGUAUUCGGAAAAGAAAAUUAAAUUGAAAAGCAAAACUUAGAGCUGGAAUCGAAUUUAUUUUGAAAUUAAUGAAUCUAAUUGUGUAUCAAAUUAGAAGCACACAGAGAAAAUAAUUAUGACACAUUUGAAUAACUUGAACUUGAAAAAUAAGACUCUGGCUAUAUCAUUACUGAACUAUAUUCUAAGGACCGCGGGUUGGGGUUGGGGGGUGGGGGAGGGGAACGGGGGAUUGUUGUUUAAUGGGUGUAUCAUUCGGCUCGGCUGCCAUGACAAAGCACCAGAAUAAGCGGCUUAAACAGCAAACAUUUAUUCUCUCACAGCUCUGGAGGCCUGAAGCCCAAGACUGAGAUGUGGGCAGGGCUGGUUUCUUCUGAGGCCUCUCUCCUUGGCUCGCACAUGGUCGUCUUCUCCCCAUGUUCUCACAUGGUCUCUCCCCUGUGCACGUGCUCUUGAUGUCCCCGUGUCCAAUUCUCCUCUGCCUUCAAGGACCCCGGUCAGAUAGGGUUAAGACCCACCGUAAUGGCCUCUUUUAAUGAGAUCCGCCCUUUGAAGGCCCUGCCUCCAAAUACAGUCACAUUGUGAGCUGCGGGGGUUUAGGAGUUCAACACCAGAAUUUUGGAGGGACAUAAUUCAGCCCAUAACCACGAGUGUGGGGUUUUGGUUUGGGACGUUCUGGAGCUGGACGGUGGUGAUAGCAGCACAAGACUGUGAAUGUACUCAAUACCAGUGAACCGUAUGCUAAAAAAAAAGUUAAGAUGGUACAUUUUGUGUUAUGUAUAUUUUACACCAUAAAAAAAUAAAAAUGAAUAUAGGAAGGGAGAAAAAAUUCUCAGAGGGGCAAGAGAGUAGAGGGUGCCACUGAGCAGGUGACAGAGCUGGUGUGCAGCAACCCCGCGUGCCUGCCCCCGGCGGUGGGGCCAGGACACCAGGGCCAGGGAUUCAUGGCAGUAAGUCCUUACCCUUUCCAUCUGUGAAAUGGGUGCUGCUAUCAUUAUUACCAUGACAGGUGCCUUGCAGAGGUGGCAGGAAGGGUUUGGGCAGAUACCCUGGCUGUGUGGCCCCUGUUCUUUUUUGUGAUUUUCAAAUACUUGCAUCAGUGGCUUUCAGCCUGAAUAAGGAAGCCGUGGCAGCGAGCAAGCUGUUUCUAUAGCGACUGAUGUCCUUCAGAGAGGGAAAACGUGGAGAGACCCUAAGAAAAGAACAAGGGGGAACGAACAACCCAGAAACGUGGCAGAUAAUAAAACCCAGGAGGAAUGCACUGUGACCUAGUUUUCCUGCGGUUUCGUCGAGAUUUCUGGCAAGUGCACCUGACUAUUUCAUCCUAACGCAUAUCUGUCAUGUUAGCAUCACUGAAAGCUGUAAAGUGAGGUGACAGGAUGCAACACUUUACCUGGUGAAAGGCUAACACUGAAACACAACUGUGAGGAUUAAGAAAGUGGGAAAACCCCAGAAAAUUCCGAGCCCCAUCAAUCUUAGUCCCGGCCACUUGGUGGAAGAUCGGGCCUGGUGAGACUUGGUGCACCUGUCCUUUUCUUUUUUCCUUGGAAACAAGGAAAGCGUCCUGGCCACACGGGCAGGCUUUGUGCACUGGCUCGUCACUUCCUGGUCGUGUGAUCUUGGGCAGGUUCCUUAACCAUUCUGUGCUUCAACUUGCUAAGCUGUAAAAUGGGGAGAGGAUUCCCACGUCGGACAGCGGUUGCAAAGAAAGGAUUCAAGGGGCGGGGGCAGGGGGUGACCCCAUUCAGGUCCUCGGUAAAGAGCGGCUGGUAACUCCUGUGGGGAAGUCACUGAGCUUGGGCUUUGUCAGCCUCCCGGUAACUGUGGUUCUCUCGUCUCCCUUUCCCUUCCAGUUGGCCAUGGACAGAGCGAAGGGGAGAGGAUGGUAGUGUCUGACUUCCACGUUUUCAUCAGGGAUGUGCUACAGCACGUGGAUAUCAUGCAGAAAGACUACCCGGGGCUCCCUGUGUUCCUGCUGGGCCACUCCAUGGGAGGUGCCAUCACCAUCCUUACGGCCGCAGAGAGACCGGGCCUCUUCUCCGGCAUGGUCCUCAUUUCGCCUUUGGUUCUUGCCAGUCCUGAGUCUGCAACAACUUUCAAGGUAAAUGGAUUUCCAGUUCUGUGCCAGUCCUGCACUUCUGGGGACCCGGAGCGUCCACUGAUUAGC